CGGCUUCCUUCUCUUCCAUGCUCUGGUGGAAGAGCAUGUGGCAGACUUUGUUCACAUUAAGGCAGAAGCAGAGAGGAACAGGAACCAAGGGUGGGUAUAGCCUCCAAUAGCCAUCCCCUCCCCUAACUCAUGACUAAUUCCCAACCUCUUUUUAAAAAAUCUGUCUUGUUGUUGUUUGUUUGUUUUUGAGACAGGGCCUCAUUCCAUAUCCUUGGCUGUCAAGAACUUACUGUGUAGACCAGGCUGGACUCACAGCCUCUGCCUCUGUCUCCUGAGUGCUGGGUUUAAAGGCAUAUGCCACCACUGCCCGGAAAACUCCAUAUCCUCUUAAGACAGUGUCAUCAGCUGGAGACCAUGCAUUAAAGUAUGAGCCUUCAGGGGACAUUUCAGGUUCAAAUCAUGACUGAUGGACAAAGACCGGGAGGGCAGGCCUCCAUAUCUCCUCUAUAGAGUAGCACCUGAGCCUUCUAUGUAGCAGACUGGUUAUCUUCCUAGUGACACAGGAAAGGCUACACUGCCUGCCAAGUGCCUCCCCUGAGCAUUCUGAUUCAGUUAGUCUGGGGAUAGUAUCUUGACCUGUGGAUACUUCUAAAGUUCCCUGU
rnacentral:lncRNA from 1 species